AGUCAAAUCUGACUUAAUUAUUUCGACCACACGCGGUCGAAAUAAUAAAGUUCAAAAGUUUAAUAUACUCCCCCAGCAUCAAUCGUGCAAUUCUCAACCCAAAAUAUACCUAAACCUAAUUUUAUACCAAAACUCCCACCCCCAACACACCCCUACCCCGCCGCCGACGCCCCAUCGCCACCACACCCCUCCCCGGCGCCGACGCCCCAUCCCCAUCACUGCCUGUCCUCCGUCGCCGCCCUUGCUGUCUGCCGCCAUUAAAGGCUUGAAAGCAACCUCUGCUCUGAAAGCAACUUCAGCUAUCUGGAAUCAGCACAUUCAUAAACGCUCGAGAGGGGUCAGGAAGUACCUCAAGAUGAAAUCUUCAAGAUUACUCACACGAGGAGUCGAAGAACGCCGAUGGUAUAGACCAAUGGAUUGAGCCAAGGUCUUAGCAAACCUAUACCGAGUAUCAACAACACAAGUUGGAAUAUUGUGCCAGUCAGCCAGCCGAGACGUCAAUGACCAACGAGGUAAUUGACCAGUGGAUGGAGAAGGUUGCUCCCCCAACAAGGUACGAGACAAUUUAUGGGAUCCCUAAUCGAGCCUGUCGUCAAUUCCCGUCGUUCCUUCAAGGUGUAGGUGCUACUUCUGAGGGGGCAGUGGAUCCUAAGGAAUACCAAGAAAUGAAGCAGAAAGUUACUCAACUAACACGUACACUUAGUGCCACGGAGGCAAGGAUGUUGGGUAUGCAGGCCCAAAUAGACAGCUUACUCAAUUCGGGGGCCUUUCCGAUUCCCCCGUGUCCCGGGGAUGCUCGUAGGUCACAGCCCAGUAGACGAAGUAGGACAGGCCAACGUAAUUCAUGGUCUUGUUGAUGAGGAUAGUGGGGAGGAUUCGGAUCAUGUCUCUAACACCCAACGUUGACUUUUUUGAUUCGUAUACUUUUGGACUCUAAUAUUGCUAUGUUUUCUUGGAUAUGUAUAUGAUAUUUGAUUGUAGUUUUAAUUCGAAUUAGAUGUACUUUUGAAGGUGAAUUUGAUUGUAGAAAGUAGUUUAUGGUUGUUUAACUU